UACAAAUCAUCUGUUGGAGAGAUGUGAAAACCUGAAGUUGUAGUCUGGUUUCUGGGCCUCCAAAACACCAGAGAUUGGGACUUAGAGUCAUAGAAAUGUACGGGACUUCUCCUUACUCAUUUGCCCAUGCCAAAAUCCUUUCACAAAUUCUGGAGGACAGAAGAGGAAGGCCAGGCAAACAGAAAUUGUGAAAUGCGUGGUAAAAUAUCAACAGGUAGAAACUGCGGGGUCUUCUACGAGUUGGAAGAGGACUUGGACACAAUGGAAGUAUGUUUGGGGAUAACAGGG